UGUCUGUCCUCCGGUGCUGGCUGCCUGCUGCUGUGUGCAGCCUGCCUGUGGCUGUGUGGGAUGGCGGGGAGGUGGUGGUGCUGGUCUGGGAAAAAAUAAUCUGAAUUUAGUGUCUGGAGGUCCUCGGGCCACUCAGGAGCACUUUGAGGAAAUGCCCUCGCUGCUCUGUUAUCGGGGUGUGGGGGUGUUCCCUGUAACUUCUCCCAUUUCCCCUUCCCUAGCCCCCUUCCUUCCUGCAGGCAUGCAGGUUGGAACCGGGGAUGCUGGUGAGUGCCUGGGGUCUGAGGGAUCCCACAGGAAGGUCCAGCACCCCAAAAAGCAGCCGUGUGCUCACGCUGCCUGCGUGCUGCGGCUGUGGAGGGGAAGCUGGGGAUGCUCCGUGGCAAGCAGGGGACUGGGCAUGAGCAAGCAGGGGGUCUGGGGAGUUUCCUGGCCUCUGCAUUCAGGUGGCAAGGUAGCUGAGUUGGUGUGGGACCAGCUGCUUGAGCUGCCUGUGGUUUGCCCAGCACUUACACGGGGGAACAAGAAAGAUGAGUGCUUUAUGCAAGUGAUUUUUGCUGUCUGCAGGCUGCUGGCAGCUGUGUCCCUUCCACUCAGCACAAACUGUCCUCUCUGUCCUAUUUCCAGUGCUGUUACCUGGCUCAAAAGGUUGUCUCCGUUCAUUUUGUAACGGAAAGGAUAAAUAUGUGGGGGAAGAAAGCUCCAUUCUGCUGUCUAAUUUUGUUCCUCCCUGUUCACGCUGCCUGAACACCGACAAAGUGAAGCUGGGCUGUACCUGUGCCUGGGUGCCCUGUGCAUCCCUCACCUACUUACCGUGAGGUUUCAGGUGUCUGUGCAAACUGCCAGGGUGUUGUCCAGUAUCCAGGUAGCGAUUAUGUUACACGGGAGGUGAAUGCAUGUCUGAAAGUGCUAGCUCAGGUAAGAGUUGAAGAAGACACGGAGUCAUUUCAGAUCAGAGGUAAGCCAGUACCAGUCCAUUAGAGCUAAUUCAAGGUACCCUGUCUGCACCAGCCCAGACUUGGGCUCCAGGGUUUGGUGUUUUCCCCUUCUGCCUGUCAGGGGCAUCUUAGGUGGGGCGGAUGUAAAUGAAGUUUUCCUCUGUAUUUUGAAGACAGGAUCAUGCUUACCUUUUCCAUCUAUUAUAUAAAAUUUAUUAAUUUGUGACUUAGCCCCUCAUAUGUACUUACAGUCUGUUUUGAUAUUUUAUGCUGUAAAUGACAGUGUUUUGGAGUUUCCACUUACUGAGGGAGAGCGUUACUGAGAAUGAUUAUUGGCUUCAAAACAUCUAUGUUAGGUGCUUUUUAAUUUUUUUUCCUAAGUAGACUAGAGAUGAGGUUUAUUUUGCAGGACCUGAAAGUAAACAUGUAAUAUUUGGUUAUGAUUGCUGUUCUUCGGUAGUGACUGCUCUGCUUCUUACAUUGGCAACCAGUAACAUUAAAGAUGAAUCAUCCCAGCAAAGUUAGUUUGCUUGCAGACUGACAUACACAGGCAGGCAACUGCAGGGAGCUUCAGAUUGGUCCUUGUAACCCUCUGACACUGGCAGUACUGGUGGGGAUGUUGGUGAGACAUAAUCCAUGCAGCCCUCCUGUUUCUUGAGGAGCUUGUAGUAUAUCUUGGGAGGGGGGAAUCUAGGGCUCUGCUUCAGACCUAGCAAAGCCACAUGUACUGUGAAACUGUGUUGGCUUUGUGAUUUGACCUACUCAGCCUAAAUCCCAAAUGGGGCAGAGGCAAAGGACUCUUAAAUAGUAGGAGGCACCUUUUCUCUUUGCCACUUGCUGCCUCUGCACCUGACCCAAGGAUGCUGAGCACAGAUAACUCUAGUGACCACGCUUCACUCCAGUCAUUUCAGUGGCUUGUCAGCAAGAGAAGGCUCAUUCACUUACUUCAAGUAGCUUCAGAAAGCUGAAGCACCAAGGAAAAAAACAAUUGAGGGAUGAAUGAUGUUGGAACAGUAACAUGAGGUUUUAACCUCGCUGCCUGGGAAACUGCACUGACUUUGGUGGAGAAAUGCUAGGGAUGCUUAUUGCUUUGUCCUUUUGACUCCAGAUGGAGGUUCUCUAGAACUAGUUUUGUGGGUUUGUGGGACUUUUUACCAUUCUCCACAUAGUCUGACAAAAAUACCGAUAUAAAGACAGAACUACAGAUAGGUUUUAGGUAGCGAGUUUGAAACUAUGAAAAUCUCUCUUUACCUAUUCUGAUAAAACUCAUGUGGAAACAGUAGCUAAUAAACUGUCUAUUGCUGCUAACUGACCAGUUGUGUUCUCUAGUACUCUGUUCUGUUUUGAACUCUUUUGUAUCAUGGAGGAUGGACAAGCUUGUAAUGUAAGUGACAGGAUCAUACUGUCAAUGAGAAGAGAAUGGGAUGUCAACAGGGCAGGCCAGAAAAACAGCAUAUAAUUCCUUGUUUUGAAGCACGGGGGAACUAGAGGAUUUGUUUUUAGUAUAGAUUUUGAAAAAUCUUAUCUUUGCUCUCACACUCUGGCAUUGGUUAAAUGAGAAAUAAAACUGCUUUCCUGGUGAAAUCUCAACCCUCCUUUAUAUUAAAACAAGUUACUUCUAUCUGCUCCCUACAGCUGGGUGGAGAAGACUUCUCAGUAGGAUUCCUUGUAUGACUGGGGAUCUUUCUGAGUAUAUGAAGAAACUUGCUAGUCCAUUAUAUAGGCUCAUCAGUGUUUUCUUGCAUUUGGAAGGUAGAAUACCAGUAAUCUUCCAGUGACUGGUACAGACCAUCUCUUACUGGAAACAAAUUAAUAACACACAAGCCAUUGUUUGUUUCCAGAGAGACUCAGCUGAAGGGGCUUACACAACUGUGGGGCUCUAAUCCCAGCCUUUAGUUUAUGUGCUUUUUUUCUAUUUGCAUUCGAAUGUAUUGUAGGAGCAGUGACCAGACAUCAAAUCUGAGCCCAGUCCAUCUGAAGCCUGAAACAAGAAUCCUUUACCCAGAUAACAAGAGGAGGCUUUGGUGUGGUGUACAGUCCUGAGAGCUGCGGUGCGCUGGACUCUGCCCAGGCUUCUCCUGCGGUACUGAAUCAGCAAGACCCCUGAACAGCCUGCUGUGCUGAGCUGCUGCAGAGUGGAGCCAGUUAGGGAAAGGAGUAUCCUCGCUUCCAGGAGCUACAGCAGUGUUGGACAGAGUUAUUUUGUCCAAGUUACCAUUGAACACCUUCUGUGGCAUGUCUCCACAGAGAUUAAUGCGGCUCAUGUAGACGUGGGAGCUGACACAGCUGCUAGCAGAGCUGUGAACUGUUUGGGUAAGCUCCAGAAUGACAACUUCUUAAAGCCCUUCUCGAAGAUGCUAGACAGGGAGAACCGAUGUUAAUUGCGUUUGACAAAUGACUGCAGAGCAGGUUUAACAGAACACUUCUGCUGUUAACAGUGCUUCUGCAUAAGCCUUUGGGUGAUGAGGUUCAAUUUAUAAGGGUUUUGUUUAAGUUAGAUAAGCUUUGGGGGGAGCAUUGUGUAAAGGAAAGCAGACAGAUAAUAUGCAGAAAGUUUAAUGAGUGAAACAUAAAGGUGGAUCUGCUCUUCUGGUAACAAUUGCUAGCUGCUUUUCUGACCAGUGAGGCUGGACUGUUUUGGAGAGCUUGCCGUCAAAGCUAAGAUGUGGCUGUUACUCAUCUCUGAGCUUCUUUGGGAAAGAUGAGGUAGGGAAAAAAGGUAAUGAAAGCUUCAUGACGUUCUUUGCGGGGGGGAGAACAGGAUAUACUAGAAGGCAGAAAUCAGUGAGUUUUUUUGCUUCAUGUAAAAAGUGAAAUCAAAGCAAAGCUGCAAUGAAUCACAGAGUGGUUUGGCUUGGAAGGGACCUUAAAGCCCAUCCAGUCCCAACCCCCUGCCAUGGGCAGGGACCCCUCCCACCAAAUGAGGUUCCUCAAAGCCCCGUCCUGCCUGGCCUUGGGCACUGCCAGGGAUGGGGCACCCUCACCUCCUCUGGGUAACCUGUUCCAGUGCCUCACCACCCUCUGAGUGAAUAAUUUCUUCCUAAUAUUUAAUAUAAACAUACCUGUUUUGAAAUUAAAACUGUUACCCCUUGCCCCAUCACUACACUCCUUGAUAAAGGGUCCCUCUCCAACUUUCUUGUAGGUCCCCUUUACAUACCAGAAGGCUGCUAGAAGGUCUGUCUUUAAGCAAAGAAUGAGUUAUUGGCCUCUGUUGUGAAGGAAGGCACAAGUCUAGGGUAUUGUGUGUGGAUAGGGAUGAGAGGGGUUCCACUGCACAGUAUGUAGAGAAAUUCAGUAAGUGAGGUAUAUGUUAAUUCCACAGCUUUAUCUUGUUUUGAUGUGAAGGUUUAAUAUGAGCCAGUGGGAUUAGCCAGGCCCAGCGAGCACUAAAAAUAAAGAUUCGUUUGGGUGAGAUGUGGUAGAUUUUAAAUGUCAUGUUUCUUGAGGUGUGGGAGGAGACGGUUACUACUAGAUUUUCUUCAGAGUAUUCUUAACUGCACCAUGUUUUACAGCAUUUGUGUCUGUAUUUCUUGAUGGAUGAGGUGAUUCUGGCUGACAGACACAGCUGUCCUGUAGGUCUUGGUAAUGUAAUAACCUGGACUGCUGCCUCAAUUUUCCCUGCUAUAUGUGAGAGUUUUUUCACUUCUUGGAGUGCAGAGAGGUUUGUGGAAAGGAGAUGCUGAGAGCAGAUCUGGCUUCUGUCUGCAACGUGAUCCUGGGGCUACAAAGCUACUGUUUUCCACUUGUCAUCUGCAGUAAGGCCAAGCCUGCAACCCCAAAAACUGUUCCUCUGAGCUGCAAUUAGGAGGGUCAGGCAUGCAGCAGGCUCGGACUACUUUAUUCUUGUCACUUUAUCUGCUGCUUACCUAUCUUGUGCAAUUUUUGCCUGUCCUAUUGUGUUUUACAGAAAGGAGCUGGUAGUGUUUGCCUCUUCUUUUCCCCUUAGUUCUGCUUUCUUUCAGACAGCUCGUGACUCACUGCAGAGGUAUUGUCCCAUGUCUUUAUUAGCAGCGAGGCUGGCCUGCAGGAGUGGUGGCAGGAGGUGGGGUGGAGUCGCAGCUAUAUCAGAAAGCCGGAACUGUUGGAGUUUGCAGCGAGUCGUAAUUAUGAAACAGGUGCUUGCACCUCCCUGGGACCCGUGCACACCAUGCCUGCAGUGUACCAGACCUGGCAUCAGGAAGCUGGGGUCACUUGGGAGCUCAGAUGGACCGUGGGUGCCACUGCCAGCUGCAGAACUGCAAGGAGGCGGGUUAAAAGGUUUACAGUCAAGAAGUGAUUUGUUAAUUAAUCGUUGCCAUCUCCUGGGAAACAGGGAACGGAGCCCUUGUUCUGUUAUCACAGUGCCUGUGUUGCACAAGAGACCCUAGGAGUAAUAACCUGCUUCUGAGGCUAUGAUGCAAGAGUUGAGAAUUGCUUUGCCCUGAAGGCUGCCUUCCAACAUGUUCACAUGUUUCCAGGAACUGAGGACUGCAGGAAUGCUAGAUAACACCACGUCUGGUGCAUCUCAGGCUGUUCCACAUCUAUAAUAGGAAAGUCAAAUGGCUUUAAUACGAACUCUUGCCUUCUGUGAAUGAGAAGAAAGGAGGAGACCGAACAGCCCACCCUAACUUCUCUCCUUGUGUGAUGCCAGCUACACAAACAUAAGUGCACCGGUUGCAGGGAGUUAUGGAAAUCUAUGAACUGUCUGGCAAAGCUCUGCACUCAGAAGAUAAUGGAUGGCCAGAAGGGAGCAGAGUAUCCUUCUGUUGCAAGUCUUCUGAAACCUCAUCUCAAGCCUUUGCAGGGUAUUUGUCGUGUUUUGAGCUAGUACAUCAGCUUUCCUGAUAAACUACUAUUUUUGAUGGGUUUUCAUUUUUAGGUUUAUUCUUCAUAGAGCAAAGGUAGCCAUCAGCCCUACAAUUUUUGGGAGAAUAACAGGGUGCAGUUGUUCUGCUUUUUAGCUUAACUCAUUACAGGUAAUAAGAACAGCUUAAAAAAAAUACAAGUACUGAAGGAUUGCCAUGAAGAUUGCUGCAGAGAGUUCCUCUCAGUAUCCUGCUCAGGUGCCCUGUCCCAAAGUGUCACUGCUCCUUAUUGUCUGAGCUGGGUGUUGGCUGAGUGGGAGUGAUGCAAUGAGUGGCUGGAAUGUGGCUGGGUCAAAUACAUGGGCCUCGACCUGUCUCACUAUAUAAUUCCUGAGCAACUUCACUUGUGUUAAUAAAGUCAGUGGGCUUGAAUUCCUGUCUGUUGCUAUGUUCUGUAUAUAACCUUGGUGUGGCAGUGCUAAAACCCGGAUGGGUAGCAGUGAUUGUCAGAAAAUGUGGGCCUUGUAUUUCAAAGCGUUUGGUUAAAUGUGCUCUUUGCUGCCUGGGAAGGAACCAUAUGAUGCAAACAACACAACGCCAAGUGACACCGGUGGGGAUGUGGUCAUGGUUGGGCAAAUCGUAUUAGUGCACAAGUCUGCUGGGACCUGAGCAGUCAGAAUCUGCACGUGGAGAGAGAAUUGGUGAAUUAUUUAAAUCCAGACAUUUUGUCUGUACUCAGUGAGGGAGGGUGAGGAGUAUGGCAUGGUGUUUUACUGCACAUUUUCAGGGUGAUCUUUGGAUUCUGGACAUUAGAGGUUAAGGGUCGUCAUAUCGAUGAAAGAACUAAUCUCUUGGGCUCUGUUACAUCCUUUCCAGUAAGGAGAAUUGUCUCAGCUGCUUUUCACUUCAUCUGUUUCAAACAACUUGUGUGAAAACGUGAGGUUUCUGGCUCAGUGACCAGGGAAGCCAGCAAACUUCAUGACUUCUCUUGCUCGAGGGGUCUCAUUAUUAGCUUUUAUGUUCCUGUCUCAUCUGCAUUAAAACUGCAGGAUGUAGGCAGAGCUUUCUGUUGCGAAGGGCAGUGUAAAGGCUGCACCCCCAAAAUACAGUUACUUGGCCUAUUUUCCUGUUACUAACUGUAAGAGAUGCAGUCCCUACAUUUUUCUUAGACCAGAUCUUAAAUGUAGUAUUGUUUGCAGCAUACUGUUUCUCUGUGAAUGUAUAAUAUUAAUGCCUUUAUUUUAAUCCGUGCAACCACAGCGUGAAGGAACAUCCCAUAUUAAUCUAAUUUAAAUUUGAAAUUAAAAAAAAAAAAAAAUCUAUCCCAACACUGGGAACAUAACUCAUUGAUUGUGCUGGCUGGAUUCCAGCAGUGUAACUAAUUGCAUUCUGUCUGCAUCACAUUCUCCUUGCUGCUGGUGGCUUUUUUUGUGGGUUGUUGGCUCAAAUUCUUGUGCAGUCUCUGCAGCCUGACUACGCAUUUUUAAUGCAAGUGGAAAUAGUGCUAGAAAUGACUAAGCAUCUCUCCCUGGUGAAAGGAAAGCCAUUGGGUUGCUGGUUAGACCCAGUACAGCACGAUGUGGGUGGGUAACAGGUGUGCCUUGUUUCAGCAGUUCCACGCACGCUCCUCUUUGCUACCUCCUAUCCCAGCUGCAGGGCUGCUUUUGGGGUGCAGGUGGGGCUGGAGCCCCAGAGCUGCAGCUAUGGGGAGCAGCUGUCAGAUCGGGGCAGCGGCAAUAGGAAAACUUCCCUGCCUGGCCCAGCAGUGACCUCUUGUGGGUGGCGGGGCUGCCUGGGUGUCAGCAGCCAGCACUCUUUAAUGAAUGCAAACGUGGGGAAAGGAGUUUGGAUUUUGUUGGCUGGAUGUUGGAAAAGCAUGGCUAUUCCUGGUGUCAGUCUCCUGCCGCGCUGGAGCUGUGAUGUGGUGGUGUCCGAGGGGUUGUGGAGCGAUUCAGACUCUUCUCUCCCCUUGGUGAACCCAGAGCUGGUUCUGAACCCACCAGAGGAGCAGGAGCAGGAAGGAAUGAGAGCGGGACUUGUACCUUUUCCAUGACAUCUCCCUGUUUCUGCCAAAAGCUGUCUCACUGCUCUGGCACAAAAUUAAGAGUUACGAAGUACUAUGCCAGCAUCAUGGCUGUGAUAUGCACGAAGGGCUGGGGGGUCUCAGCCCCUAGUAAUCACUUAAAAACCCUGAGGCAUAAACCAGGUUACCAGUUAAUAGAGGACUGUGCCUCAGCCCAGCUUCCUGGCCAGCUGCAAAGGCAAAGUUAGAACAAAAACCAAAAUUUUGUUGAAGCCUUUUUUGCAGAGUCAGUACACUACAUGUUGGUUAGUGGAAGUGAAUUUGUCAUUACAGCUUGACUGAUCUUUGAUAAGAUGCAGGGGGCAGCCUGUGUGUCAGAAAGCUUUCUAAGUAGCUUAAAAAAAGAAGAAAUUGUGUCCUUCUGCCAAGUAGCAGGUUACUUCACCACCCUGUGACUUUGACUUCUCCCUGCUCUGAGCUACACAUAACACUUCCUUUGAAUUGUCGUGUAUUUUUAGGCAGUUUGCAAACCUUUCUGUUCUCUGGGCAGCUGCGGAUUCCCUGAGACUGACAGGCAGACAGCUGCACCGCUGCCCUGGGAUUAAAGGUAACAACACCGAGAUUACAGGAAUGCCACAGAGAUGCUGGCGGUGCAUGGAUGCCUUGCACAUGCAGAAGUCAAAAAAUAGAAGGUAGUGAAAAUCUUAAAGUUAUCUGCCUUUUAUUACUCAGUUUUGGAGCAUUAUCUCUGCAUGUCCUGCUGCUGAAUGAUGACUUGUGUGUGCAAAUUAACCAUAUUCCUGUUUUCAGGAAGCAGGAAGAGAUCCCGUGCCUGUCCAAGGGCAAAAUAUAUCUCUGUAAAACUGGACAACACCAAAAUUUGCAGCUCUACUAACUUGGGGUUGCAAGUCAGGUAUUCCCUGCUAUCCAAUUCUACACGAGUUUAAGUCAGGCCUUAACCUGUGGAAAUGAAUUGUCUUGCAAGGCUUCAGAAUUAAGCUGUAUUGUAGAGCUACAUCAGUCACGCACACACACACCCUCCCAAAAAGCAACUUUCAGGAUCUGGGGCUGGAGAUGAAGUGGUUUGUCCGGAUGUUUGUGCUAGGUGGGUGAGCCUGUCUCCUUUCUUUUGUGUUAGAAAAGUGGGGGAAGGGAAACUAAGGAACAAGGAAGAAGCCAAAAACAUAAGAGCGAGCACUGGGAAUGCAGCCUCGACCAAA